UACGGAGGGGGCAAGCGUUGUUCGGAAUUACUGGGCGUAAAGGGCUCGUAGGCGGCUUACUGAGUCAGACGUGAAAUCCCUCAGCUUAACUGGGGAACUGCGUCUGAUACUGGAUGGCUAGAGUGUGGGAGAGGGAUGCGGAAUUCCAGGUGUAGCGGUGAAAUGCGUAGAUAUCUGGAGGAACACCGGUGGCGAAGGCGGCAUCCUGGACCACGACUGACGCUGAGUGAGCGAAAGCCAGGGGAGCAAACGGG
rnacentral:rRNA from 1 species